rnacentral:rRNA from 1 species
GCGCAGCAGUCGAGAAAACUUCACAAUGUGCGAAGGCACGAUGAGGGAAUCCCAAGUGCUUGCACGUAAGUGUAAGCUGUUUCUCUGUCUAAAACGCAGAGAGAGUAAGGGCUGGGUAAGACGGGUGCCAGCCGCCGCGGUAAUACCUGCAGCUCGAGUGGUGACCGUUAUUAUUGGGGCCUAAAACGUCCGUAGCCGGUUUAAUAAAUGCCUGGGUAAAUCGGACCGCUUAACGGUUCGAAUUCCGGGUAGACUGUUAAACUUGAGACCGGGAGAAGUUAGAGGUACUCCUGGGGUAGAGGUGAAAUUCUGUAAUCCUAGGGGGACCACCAGUGGCGAAGGCGUCUAACUAGAACGGGUCUGACGGUGAGGGACGAAGCCCUGGGGCGCAAACGGGAUUAGAUACCCCUGUAGU